rnacentral:rRNA from 1 species
CCUACGGGUGGCAGCAGUGAGGAAUAUUGGUCAAUGGACGCAAGUCUGAACCAGCCAAGUAGCGUGCAGGAUGACGGCCCUCCGGGUUGUAAACUGCUUUUAGUUGGGAAUAAACGGGGGCUCGUGAGCCCCGUAUUGUAUGUACCAUCAGAAAAAGGACCGGCUAAUUCCGUGCCAGCAGCCGCGGUCCUACGUAGGAUCCGAGCAUUAUCCGGGGUGACUGGGUGUAAAGAGUUGCGUAGGUGGCAUAAUAAGUAGCUAGUGCAAUCUGGUGGCUCAACCAUUCAGACUAUUAGCUAAACUGUUAAGCUCGAGACCGUUAGGGGUAACUGGAAUUUCUAGUGUAGGAGUGAAAGCCGUAGAUAUUAGAAGGAACACCAAUAGCGUAGGCAGGUUGCUGGGACGGUUCUGACACUAAGGCACGAAAGCGUAGGGAGCAAACGGGAUUAGAUACCCCUGUAGUC